rnacentral:rRNA from 1 species
AUUGAACGCUGGCGGUAUGCCUUACACAUGCAAGUCGAACGGUAGAGGGGCAACCCUUGAGAGUGGCGAACGGGUGAGUAAUACAUCGGAACGUGCCCAGUCGUGGGGGAUAACGUAGCGAAAGCUACGCUAAUACCGCAUACGACCUGAGGGUGAAAGCGGGGGAUCGCAAGACCUCGCGCGAUUGGAGCGGCCGAUGGCAGAUUAGGUAGUUGGUGGGGUAAAGGCCUACCAAGCCUGCGAUCUGUAGCUGGUCUGAGAGGACGACCAGCCACACUGGGACUGAGACACGGCCCAGACUCCUACGGGAGGCAGCAGUGGGGAAUUUUGGACAAUGGGCGAAAGCCUGAUCCAGCCAUACCGCGUGCGGGAAGAAGGCCUUCGGGUUGUAAACCGCUUUUGUCAGGGAAGAAAUCUUCUGGGCUAAUACCUCGGGAGGAUGACGGUACCUGAAGAAUAAGCACCGGCUAACUACGUG